UACGGAGGGGGCUAGCGUUGUUCGGAAUUACUGGGCGUAAAGCGCACGUAGGCGGACUGUUAAGUCGGGGGUGAAAUCCUGGGGCUCAACCUCAGAAUUGCCUCCGAUACUGGCAGUCUCGAGUGGCGGGAGAGGUGAGUGGAAUUCCCAGUGUAGAGGUAGAAAUUCGUAGAUAGUUGGGAAGAACACCAGUGGCGGAAGGCGGCUCACUGGCCCGUAACUGACGCUGAGGUGCGAAAGCGUGGGGAGCAAACAGG
rnacentral:rRNA from 1 species